GACGAACGCUGGCGGCGUGCUUAACACAUGCAAGUCGAACGAAGUGGCGAACGGGUGAGUAACGCGUAAUCAACCUGCCCUUCAGAGGGGGACAACAGUGGGAAACGACUGCUAAUACCGCAUACUGAAGUAGGUGAUUGCGUCUGAUUAGCUAGUUGGAGGGGUACCGGUCCACCAAGGCGAUGAUCAGUAGGCGGGCUGAGAGGAUGAACGGCCACAUUGGGACUUAGACACGGCCCAGACUCCUACGGGAGGCAGCAGUGGGGAAUCUUCCGCAAUGGACGAAAGUCUGACGGAGCAACGCCGCGUGAGUGAUGACGGCCUUCGGGUUGUAAAGCUCUGUUAAUCGGGACGCGGUACCGGAAUAGAAAGCCACGGCUAACUACGUGCCAGCAGCCGCGGUAAUUC
rnacentral:rRNA from 1 species